CCCAGGUGGCAUGAAUAUGUUGAUGCACUGACACAUGCAUACAAUUGUACUCAACAUGAUUCAACUGGUUUCUCGCCAUACUUUCUGAUGUAUGGAAGACAUCCACAACUGCCUGUUGAUCUUAUUUUCGGGCUGACAACUGAAAAACCGCCAUGUAAGUACAGUGAAUAUGUCCAGUCGCUGCGUGAAUGCUUGACAUACGCUUAUGGUGAGGCAGACAGAAUGUCGAGGCAUGCUAAGGAACUUCAGAAGAAGCACUAUGAUAGGAAAGCCAGGAGUAAUGUGUUUCAACCUGGUGACAGAGUGAUGGUGAAAUUGUGUUAUGUUGAGGGAAAAUAGAAGCUGGCUGACAGGUGGGAACCACAUCCAUAUAUUGUAGUAAAGAAACAGCCAGACAUUCCGGUGUAUGUGGUUCGUUUAGAAGAUGGUGACAGGGAAAGAGUUAUCCACCGAAAUCUUCUGGCCCAGUGUAUGUUUUUCCCGGUGGGCUCAAAGCACCUAGCUGGAGAUGAGUCGGACAUUGCAGAAGUGUCUGGGAUAGACUCAAGUGAUGCUGAGGGAGAAGUGGAAGUGGUGGAAACUGGCGAGAGUGGAGAAAGUGGCAGAAUUACACAGUGCACAAGUGUGGGUUUGCCAGAUAUUGCGGACGAAGAGUGCAAACAGAAUGAGAGUCUGUUGGAAGAGAUUGUGGGAGAAAGGACAGCGCAAAAUGAGCAGACACCACUGGAAGUCUCGGAUCUUGGCUGUCCAGAGAGGAGAUUUCCUGACCGGAAAAGGUGCCCACCAAGUAGACUCUCUUUAGACAUUCAUGCCAUAAAUGGUGAAAGUGACCAGGAGAAGUUAGAGAGAGGAAGAAAAUUGUGGGAAGCUGCCAAGGCCAGGAAGACCUGCUUUAGCAACACUGUUAAUCAUGCGCAUACUUGAUAGUGUCUUAAGUUCUAAAUUUGCUUGAUUUCAAUUAUUUAGGUUUAACCUGAGUUUACAGAUGACUGGGACGACAUCAUUUAAGGUGGGGGUGGAUGUAGGGAUAGUGUAAUUUGCUCUCCCUGCCUUUGGAGGGAGCUGUGUGUUCUUUGUUAUUAGUGGAUUAAACCUUUAUUCGCAAGGGUGGAGCUGUUUCCCCCAGUUCUAUUUCCUUUGUGAAAAGGCGGUGUCAGUGUUGGUUCUGCUGUGAAAGUGACUGAGUUGGAUAAAGAAGCCUAAUUAAAGAAAGCUGCUCUGUUUGACUCAA